AUUAGCUCCUUCUGUACGGGCUUCCAACCCAGGAAAUGGUGAAGACUCAAGGGCAUAGUCCGAAAAGUGAAGAGGAGCUGUAGAGGAGACAUACUGGCCAUCUCGGAUCACUCCAGACACAUAGUGAGGCUGAAUGAGAGGCCUGGAGGCACCUCACUUCACUUUAUAUUCCCUGCUCCUCACCACCCUCACAGCAACAAGACAGAGAAGUUUCCUGACCAAGACCAGAACUUGGACUGAAAUGUACCCAUUAGAAUGGACCAGUGUACCUGCGGCCACUGUGAGAUGGCCUAGCCCUGCAGCCAGGUCAAGAGCCAAAAGACACCACAACAGCAGGUCCUGUCCUGGGUAAGGAGUCAGCAUGAAGUCUGAGACAAGGCCCAAGGUUUUUCUGUUGGGAAGAAGCAUAGCAGCAGGGGUUUCAGCAGGCAGCUCACCAUCAGACAACAGGUGCCCAGGCCCUCAGGUGAGAUUCAGGGGCGGAGCAUUGGUGGGGACAACCAGUAAGAAAACAUAGCCCUAACUGAGAUAGUAGUCAGGCUCCAAAGACAGAUCCAGGCAGAAGCCAAGUAAUGAAAACCAGACUGGGGGCUGGGACUUGGCCUGAAGUCAAGUGAAGGGUAGGAUGGGGAGGUGAUGGGGAGUUAGCCAGUUCUGGAUGAAGAGGGUUGUAGGGACAACUAGGCAGGACCAGUCAGGCUACUUGUUUGGGUGGGAAGUGCAUCUGCUAUGUAUUAUCUCUCGCUGGGGUGGCGGGGAGGACAGGGGACAUUCACUUACCAGAGGAAGGUGCUCAGGGCUGUCUGCCUGGGACCCUCUUUCCCUGGGCUCCUGACAGGAGAACUGCCUUAAGGAGCACCCCGAAACAAAUCUAUCUGGGGCUAUUGUAGCUACGUCUUUAUAGCCGCUCUUAGUGACUUUAACAAUCAGACAGGGGGCUUUCACAUCCAUAGGAACAGACAUUUAAAAAAUACCUGCAGGACUCCUGCUGGAGAGCCACCAGAAACUCCCACUGACUCAAAGAGCAACAAACCAUCCAGCCUCUUGUGUCAGCGUCCCCAACCUCAGCUCCCCACUAGGGCUGCUCAGCUCUAGUCCUUUCACUCAACUCCCAAGGUCAUUCCAGCCUCCCUACUUGGCCCAUUCCCCUCACUUUACCAAUCCAAAUGUAACAUUUUAUUCAACACACAAAAUAAAGUCAGUUAUUUUUCAGCGGCUCCUCC
rnacentral:lncRNA from 1 species